rnacentral:tmRNA from 1 species
GGGGGUGUACUGGUUUCGACGUGGGCAGUGAAUCUUGUGGAGCAUGCCGGGGCGUACGAGGUCCUCGUUAAAAACGUGCAAUUGUUAUCUGGCAACGAUCAAGUUGCUCUUGCUGCUUAAUUGCGGCUUCGUCUUUCGAGUUUCGUGACUGCGGAAAUUCAAAAGGCGUAACUUUAGCGGUCUCGAUUGUUAGUGGCUUCUCAGCGCUAGUGAUUUAAAUAAACUGAGGAAAGGAAUUAAGUAGUUUGUCGAUAGACGCCUUAGUUCUUAAACAAGAUACCGACUAAGCAUGUAGCCCGCCAUAAGCAGGAUCUCUUGCGGACGGGAGUUCGAUUCUCCCCGCCUCCACCA